GAGCUGUCAAUUGGUCAAAAGGAC
rnacentral:siRNA from 1 species